rnacentral:tRNA from 1 species
GUCGGGAUAGCUCAGUGGAGAGCAG